AGAGGUUUGACAUGUCUGGGGGUCCUGAGGAGAGGUUUGACAUGUCUGGGGGUCCUGAGGAGAGGUUUGACAUGUCUGGGUGUCCUGGAUGACAGGUUUGACAUGUCUGGGGGUCCUGGGGAGAGGUUUGACAUGUCUGGGGGUCUUGAGGAGAGGUUUGACAUGUCUGGGCGUCCUGGGGAGAGGUUUGACAUGUCUGGGGGUCCUGAGGAGAGGUUUGACAUGUCUGGGGGUCCCGAGGAGAGGUUUGACAUGUCUGGGGGUCCCAGAGAAGAGGUGUGACAUGUCUGGGAGUCCCAGAGAAGAGGUUUGACAUGUCUGGGGGUCCCAGAGAAGAGAUUUGACACGUCUGGGGGUCC